rnacentral:lncRNA from 1 species
GGCAAGGGAGCAGCAAGAGGAGAAAAGGAUCUAGGUGGUGGCUUUGCAGACUUGUCCUGUGGUUUCUUGGAAAUGAAUGCAUGCAAUGGAUAGUUCAGAUGAGAACCAACACAGUGAGAUAAAAGAGAAGGGCUGUAAGCGAAUGGGGUGGAAACCAAAUUUGAUGUGGCAGAAACAUUGGUUUCCAUGGUUAGGUGGAAGACAACAUUCAUCACCCGGUUAUCCAUCACUCCUUGUCCCAGACCACGACCAUCGUCUCUUACCAACCGACGGUCGAGCAUUAUCUCUAGCCAUCCAUUUUUAA